UUUCCCACAGGGACUCCUCUGGCUGCUAACGACCGGAUGGAGCUCUGCAUAUUCUAGUCCAUCCUCCUUCUCGUGUUUGAUCCUGGCAUGUCCCUGACAUGCCCCGCACCAAGGGACGGGGUAACAGAUUGGCUUUUGAACAAGCUACUAACACUGUAGGAUUCAGAGGGGCCACAAGGAGCUUGAUUGUGUCCCUUUGGAAACAAAAAUUUCCAAUCUGGAAUAAAUUCAAAUUGGACAGCAACAUCUGAAUUGUUAAUCUCACCUUCUUCAAACCAAUUCCUUGUGGACUGUAAGAAGACAUGUCUUUCUCUUCACCCAGAUCUUACUAGCAAGACACUUACCUGCACACUUCUCUAUAAUACCAGCACUCUGAAUUUAAUCUCCCACAUGCCAAUUUUGCACCAGUGUGACUUCAUUGACCACAGUGGAGUUUCCACAAGCUUGGAUGACUGACUGUACAGAAGAUCAGACUGAAACUCGGCAACUUUACACAAUUAUUUAACUGGAGUUUUCUGUUGUAUGAAAGCUAAAGCUCCUAAAAUAAA